GUGCAGCGGAUGUAAACAAAAGGAGAAAAGCCAUUUUCUCAAUGAAAUAAUACUGAGCUUGUUUACGUUGUGUUGUAUUUUAAAACGAUUAAAUGCCACUGUUUUAUUUACACCGGUAAUAUCUUAACGUUAGCGCUGAAAAAAAUUAAUGUUAUCGUCGUGACUUUGCCCUGUUUUCAAUCUAGAUUAAAUUGUUACAAAAAUGAACGAAGAAGAAGMUGUUCAGAAAUAUUGUAGCGCCAUGAUUUUUCGUGUCAGAAACAAACACGGGUCCGUUCAGACCUCAGAGAAGAGCCAGAAGAGACUCAAUCAGCGAAUGSGACCUGGAGGGAGGACUGAGGAGGCUGAAGAGACGGCUCAGACCGCAGGAGAGAGCAGUCCUCCACAUGUGGGUCAAGGUCCCGGUGUCCUGCCUGUCCCCCUUCAGCUCAUUGCACGGCUGAGGGUCAAAACUUUCAAGGAGACGCUAAGACGAGCUGCAGAGGCGGAGCUCCCAGGUUCCUGCGCCUGCAGGGCGUGUGAGGAGGAGCGGGCUUCACUGGCCUUGACAACUUUUAUCUGGAGGAAGAAGACACAACUGCAGCUCCAAAAGCGCCGAAGGACAGACAAAACACAAACCUGAGAUUAGGCUCCUUUUGGAGGGAGUCGGUGCAGAAAUCUCCCAGAGCCUUCCGAUGCCCCUCGCUGGAUUUGGGGAGGAACUUCUUUGGUGAAAAUAUGCGGGUCACAGCAACCUGGGGUUGCCGUAGCAACCACUAAGGAACGUGGAGUUGCCCUGGCAACAGAUGAAAUGAGGGGUUACCCUGACAUAAACACUACAGGAACUCAUUUAACAAAUCCUCGCUGUCCUUUUUCAGACCGACAGCUGCAGCCAUGACAGUAUAUGACAGCAUUAAUAGAGUGAAAGGUACCGUGAUGCCUACGAGCUAAGGCUGCGCAUUCACCAAAUUACAGAGACGUCCGUGUCUAGAAAUUGUUUUGAGCCCAAAACAGACAAACUAACAAGGUUCGUAGAAAAAAAAACAUCAAUUUAUUUUCUCCUGCCUGUGUUAAAGUUAAAGAACAAUGUUCAAAGCAAACGCGCCUGGCCCUGUUCCCAGUGUUGGUGGUCACUUUGAGCACUGUAAAAAUAAAACAACGCUGUAGUUAACUCAGCUAUUAAAACCAGUCCACUUUA